CUGACGUGGUGCUGUCCACAUCGGUUAAAAACUAAAUCAAAUCAUCCAGCAGGGCAACAGCGACGUAACGGUGAUGAAUUAGUGCUGUAGAAAGAGGAUCUCCUAUUCCUCUCCAGGUGCAACGUGUGAAAGGGUUUUAUGAAAGUUUGAGAUCCUACAAACGGAUGAUGGUCGUUUCUGAUGACCUGAUGGCUCAAACUAAAAGAUACGUUGUGAACCAGAAUGCUGCUGCAAACAUCUGUCAACCACUGGGAUGAAGUUACAUGUUUUAUAAGCAACUGCUUGUUUGAUGUGCUCUCAUUUGCAGACAGAUGACAUCGAAGUCAAGAGGGACUGCGUUCUCAGAAGGACAGUACCACUCUCAUUAAGGAGGACUUGAAUGCAGAUUUCGAGGAUGCUGCGAGACAGAUUGGACAGACAAAAUGGGGCUUUAUGUAAAAAAGAAGGUGCUGAUGAAGACGAGUAGCCAGAGUGCUGGAGUGGUCAUAGAAGGUGUGAAGCUGCUACAGGAUCUGCAAACUAUUUCAGCUGGAGGAACCAUGCUGUUUGGCCUCAUUUACACACUCAGCUUGAGUUAUGCACAGGAUCACAUCUGAGUUUUUCCAG